rnacentral:lncRNA from 1 species
AUUGUUUUUAUAGGUGAGCCCCAAUGAGAAGAUGACACGUACCAAAUUUCAUAUUCAUAUAAUUUGUGUAAAAAAAAAUAAAAAAUAAAAUACUUUGAGACAUUGGAUUUAUGAUCAAACAAUGAUUGACUGUCUUGAUCAAAAUUGGACUGCUGGAUGGUUGGAAAAGUAUAUAUCUUCUAUGCUGUAGAAGAAGUAUAGAAACAUUUCUCAUUAGAGAUUACAUAUCCUUAAAAAUUACGUCUAAAAAUCCAUCUCAAAAUUAGACUUUUAAGAAAGUGACUCAUUUUUACAUGGGCUCGUAAAAACCGUAUCCUUUAAAAUGGACCUAUUCUAGGAUAUUGUUGUUUUGCCAGAUGAUCGUGACGAGCAUGCUCACGUAGAAGCAUAGUGUGCAUUAAUUCCCUGGGGCAAAAGAGAUAUUUUGAAAUAUUUUUAUACGAAAAUUUGAGAUCUACAUGAGAAUCAUUAGAUGGUUACUUUUAAAAGAAAUUAAAUUUGGAGUUCCUCAUCAUUCUUGCUCUCCAAAAGUUUGAAUUCUUCUGUAUUUGAGGUUGGUCUCUAGGCUCAAGAGGUCAUGUCCCAAAAAUUCAAGGUCUUAAAAAUACUCAUAGUAUGAGUUCUAACUGAGACCAAAUGGACAAUAAGCUCCUCCAGGACCAGCAUAUCUUUUACAUGUACAACAAUUUCCAUCGGGAGCAAACUGUAUAUUAACUCGCUCGGGCAAAAGCCAUUAAAGUCGGGCAAAUAUAUGAGCGAUUUAAAUUGAAGAUCGAGGAAAAGAGUAAAUUUCGAGGAAUAUGGGGAUUCCAUCCACCAAAAGGUUCCAAGGCAUUGUUCUAAGAUUAUGUCUUUUGCUUUAAAAGGUUUUUAUUUGUUAGACUAAAUAUGGGUUGGUUUCUUAACAUGAUUGGGGUUAACAUAUUC